rnacentral:miRNA from 1 species
UGAUGAUGAUGAUGAUGAUGAUGAUGAUGAUGAUGAUGAUGAUGAUGAUGAAGACCACUCAACAACAACAACAGCAGCCAUCGUCACAAUCG